CAGCAGCCACGGGAAUACGUAGGGUGCGAGCGUUAAUCGGAAUUACUGGGCGUAAAGCGUGCGCAGGCGGUUGUGUAAGACAGGUGUGAAAUCCCCGGGCUUAACCUGGGAACUGCGCUUGUGACUGCACAGCUAGAGUAUGGCAGAGGGGGGUGGAAUUCCACGUGUAGCAGUGAAAUGCGUAGAGAUGUGGAGGAACACCGAUGGCGAAGGCAGCCCCCUGGGCCAAUACUGACGCUCAUGCACGAAAGCGUGGGGAGCAAACAGGAUUAGAUACCCCGGUAGUCCCUGUCUCUUAUAA
rnacentral:rRNA from 1 species